rnacentral:rRNA from 1 species
UACGUAGGGUGCGAGCGUUGUCCGGAAUUAUUGGGCGUAAAGAGCUCGUAGGCGGUGUGUCACGUCGGCCGUGAAAACCUGGGGCUUAACUCUGGGCGUGCGGUCGAUACGGGCAUCACUAGAGUUCGGCAGGGGAGACUGGAAUUCCUGGUGUAGCGGUGAAAUGCGCAGAUAUCAGGAAGAACACCUAUGGCGAAGGCAGCUCUCUGGGACGGUACUGACGCUGAGACGCGAAAGCGUGGGGAGCGAACAGG